rnacentral:rRNA from 1 species
GACGAACGCUGGCGGCGUGCUUAACACAUGCAAGUCGAACGGUAAGGCCCUGCUUUUGUUGGGUGCUCGAGUGGCGAACGGGUGAGUAACACGUGAGUAACCUGCCCUUGACUUUGGGAUAACUUCAGGAAACUGGGGCUCAUACCGGAUAGGAGCUCCUGCUGCAUGGUGGGGGUUGGAAAGUUUCGGCGGUUGGGGAUGGACUCGCGGCUUAUCAGCUUGUUGGUGGGGUAGUGGCUUACCAAGGCUUGGACGGGUAGCCGGCCUGAGAGGGUGACCGGCCGCAUUGGGACUGAGAUACGGCCGAGACUCCUACGGGAGGCAGGAGGGGGGAAUAUUGCACACUGGGCGGAAGCCUGCUGCAGGAACGCAGGGUGCGGGAUGAAGGCCUUCGGGUUGGAAACAGCUUUCGCCUGUGACGAAGCGUGAGUGACGGUAAUGGGUGAAGAAGCACCGGCUAACUACGUG